GCGCCUGUGGCGCAAUUGGAUAGCGCAUCGGUCUUCGGAACCGAGGGUUGGGGGUUCGAAUCCCUUCAGGCGUG
rnacentral:tRNA from 1 species